UUAAAACAAUUAUGUAAUGAAGACUUUUUUUAAAAAAUAAAAAUGUUUUUUUUUUGUUUAUUUGAGAUAUGAAAAGAAAAACCACUUCCUACUUCUUUCAUUUGCUUUUCAGGUUGGGAGCUUGAAGAUUCUCUAACAUUAUUUUAGAAAACAACUGCUGUUCUCUGCUUAAAGGAAUCCAAGGGGUGGCUAUGUGGAGGUUUCUGCAAUGUUACACAAGAAGGGUGCUAAUGUGAGGUCACCUUAAGUAAUGCAAAUAAAUACAACCUUUAUAUACACUUUACUCUUAAUAUCACCUCUAUAUGACCAUGGAAAGUAUAUAACUCAGUAAAUAAGGCAUCUAAAAGGCCAGCAGUCCCAGAUAGGCCGCUAGAGUGUAAUUAUAGAGUUAGGAAGCGUAGAAUGAACAGUUUUACUUAAUCCCAUUUUCUAGGACUUUAAAGAAAUUAUGUUGUAAAACAAAUAUUCUUUGCACGCCUUUCAAAAGGACUAACACCCUUUGAAUUUUUUCACAUUGUGUCACAUUACAACCACAAACUGUAAUUAUUUUCAUUGGGAUCAGCACAAAGUGUAAAGAAAAAGAAUUAUGGAUUUAAAUUUUCAUUUUCACAAAUAGAAUAUGAAAAGUAUUGUGGACAAUUGUAUAUAGCCUGCUUUGUAUUCUGGCAGCUCAAAGUAAAAAUCCAGUUCAUGUCUCUGCACUGUAUUCUCAGUAUGAAUUAAGCCGAGAACAAAAAGCCUAAAGAAAACAAUACAUAAGAGAUAUUUAGAAAAACGUUGUUGAGAAAGCAGAAUAGGCUUAUAAUACCUCUGGAGGACUCGUAGAGAUCCACAAGAAUCUUUCUACAGGACAACUACAAAUCAUUCACUCCACAAAUCUGGCAUUUAUGAAAGAGUGGAAGAAGAAAGCUGAAAGAAGUUUUUAGAUUGCCACAAGGCAUGUACAGGAAACAGCAGACGUGGAACAAGGUGUUCACGAAAAAUGAGACCAAAUUUUUGCUUUUUAGCCUACAUGCAAAACGCUUUGUGUGGUGGAAAUCCCAACGCCGCUAAUCAACCUGAACACCGCAUUUUCCAUUUUUUUGUCCAAUUUAUUCUGAAACCAAAUGGGGAAUACCUUAUAGUGUAAGACUAAAAGAGACCUACUGAAGAUGAGUCGCAGAUAUAAUUUUAGCAAGAGCUGAUUCCACUGAGUACAUACUCAGUGGGGUUGAACACAAAUCUAAACAAAACUUUUCAUUUUUUGUUUUGAAAAAAGUGAAAACCUUGUAUUGUUUUCCUUACACUUCAC